rnacentral:lncRNA from 1 species
GGGUGUUUACCAGCCUGUAAAACCUGGAAAAGUCGGGGAAUUCGGACACGUCUGGAAAAGUCUGGGAAUAGUCAUGGAAACUGACAGCAGUCUGUGCGACCGUCACAGAUAUAAUCUUUACCUUUGAUCAGAGCUUGAGAAGUCUCUCCUUUGGCUGCAAUGACAGUGAACGCCUAAGCAGAAGCAUCA